GCCUGGGUGGCUCAGUCGGUUAAGCAUCUGACUUCGGCUCAGGUCAUGAUCUCACGGUUCGUGGGUUCGAGCCCCACGUCGGGCU
rnacentral:tRNA from 1 species